UUUGUUGAACUUCUUUAGGUUCCUCAGAAGUGCCCUAUCCUCUUUUUUCUUUUAAAUUUUGUGUCUAUAUUAGGCCAGUGGAGAAUACACAAGAUCCAGUGGAGAAUACACAAGAUCCAUAAGGGCAGUAGAUGCUGCCUGGCAUGCUUCAUUUAGUUCUGCAAUAAACAGAGCGUGCAGCAUGGUGGUGGAUCUCACUUGAGACCCUGAGGAAACAUCCCACAGGAAAUGAUGAAAAAUAAUAAAGAAUGUUACAUGUACUUGGCAGCAUUUAUUGCCAAGCAAAUGAGAUGGAAACUCAGAGGUGGGAAGAAGCAGUGACUGUGCCUCAUCUACCUGAAAAUUCUCACUUUUAACUCCUGAAAUUAAAAAUAAAUAAAACACAGUAUGGCCCAC
rnacentral:lncRNA from 1 species